CAGUAGCCGCGGUAGUACGGAGGGGGCUAGCGUUGUUCGGAAUUACUGGGCGUAAAGCGCACGUAGGCGGCUUGGUAAGUUAGAGGUGAAAGCCUGGAGCUCAACUCCAGAAUUGCCUUUAAGACUGCCGAGCUAGCAGGUGAGAGAGGUAAGUGGAAUUCCGAGUGUAGAGGUGAAAUUCGUAGAUAUUCGGAAGAACACCAGUGGCGAAGGCGGCUUACUGGCUCAUACUGGACGCUGAGGUGCGAAAGCGUGGGGAGCAAACAGGAUUAGAUACCCCAGUAGUCCCUGUCUCUUAUAC
rnacentral:rRNA from 1 species